UACGUAGGGGGCAAGCGUUUGUCCGGAAUUAUUGGGCGUAAAGAGCUCGUAGGCGGUGUGUCGCGUCGGCCGUGAAAACCUGCAGCUUAACUGUGGGCUUGCGGUCGAUACGGGCAUCACUGGAGUUCGGCAGGGGAGACUGGAAUUCCUGGUGUAGCGGUGAAAUGCGCAGAUAUCAGGAGGAACACCGGUGGCGAAGGCGGGUCUCUGGGCCGAUACUGACGCUGAGGAGCGAAAGCGUGGGGAGCGAACAGG
rnacentral:rRNA from 1 species